rnacentral:rRNA from 1 species
GCGACCUCAGUUCGGAUUGAAGGCUGAAAUUCGCCUUCAUGAAGUCGGAAUUGCUAGUAAUGGCAGGUCAGCAUACUGCCGUGAAUACGUUCCCGGGCCUUGUACACACCGCCCGUCACACCAUGAGAGUUGGAGAUACCCGAAGCCUAUGAGCUUAACUUUUAAGAGGCAGCAGUCGAAGGUAGAAUCAAUGAUUGGGGUGAAGUCGUAACAAGGUAGC